rnacentral:rRNA from 1 species
UACGUAGGCAGCGAGCGUUGUUCGGAGUUACUGGGCGUAAAGCGUGCGUAGGCGGUUUUCUAAGUUUGGUGUGAAAUCUCCCGGCUUAACUGGGAGGGUGCGCCGAAAACUGGAAGGCUUGAGUAUGGGAGAGGUAAGCGGAAUUCCUGGUGUAGCGGUGAAAUGCGUAGAUAUCAGGAGGAACACCUGCGGUGUAGACGGCUUACUGGACCAUAACUGACGCUGAGGCACGAAAGCGUGGGUAGCAAACAGG